AGGGGGCAAGCGUUAUCCGGAUUUACUGGGUGUAAAGGGAGCGUAGACGGACUGGCAAGUCUGAUGUGACAACCCGGGGCUCAACCCCGGGCCUGCAUUGGAAACUGUCAGUCUAGAGUGUCGGAGGGGUAAGUGGAAUUCCUAGUGUAGCGGUGAAAUGCGUAGAUAUUAGGAUGAACACCAGUGGCGAAGGCGGCUUACUGGACGAUAACUGACGUUGAGGCUCGAAAGCGUGGGGAGCAAA
rnacentral:rRNA from 1 species